GACGAACGCUGGCGGCGUGCCUAAUACAUGCAAGUCGAGCGGACUGAAUGGGAGCUUGCUCUUGUUCGGUCAGCGGCGGACGGGUGAGUAACACGUGGGCAACCUGCCCGCAAGACCGGGAUAACUCCGGGAAACCGGAGCUAAUACCGGAUAACACCGAAGACCGCAUGGUCUUUGGUUGAAAGGCGGCGCAAGCUGCCACUUGCGGAUGGGCCCGCGGCGCAUUAGUUAGUUGGUGAGGUAACGGCUCACCAAGGCGACGAUGCGUAGCCGGCCUGAGAGGGUGACCGGCCACACUGGGACUGAGACACGGCCCAGACUCCUACGGGAGGCAGCAGUAGGGAAUCUUCCGCAAUGGGCGAAAGCCUGACGGAGCGACGCCGCGUGAGCGAAGAAGGCCUUCGGGUCGUAAAGCUCUGUUGUGAGGGACGAAGGAGCGCCGUUUGAAGAAGGCGGCGCGGUGACGGUACCUCACGAGGAAGCCCGGGCUAACUACGUG
rnacentral:rRNA from 1 species